rnacentral:rRNA from 1 species
AGCGAACGCUGGCGGCGUGCCUAACACAUGCAAGUCGGGCGAGAAAGGGGUGGCAACACCCUGAGUAAAGCGGCGAACGGGUGAGUAACGCGUGGGCAAUCUACCUUCCAGUCUGGGAUAACCUUCCGAAAGGGGGGCUAAUACCGGAUGAUGUCCUGUUGGGGCAUCCUGAGGGGAGCAAAGGGGGCGACCCGCAAGGGGCUCUCGCUGGAGGAGGAGCCUGCGUCCGAUUAGUCUAGNGGUGGGGUAACGGGCUCACCAAGGCGACGAUCGGUAGCCGGCCUGAGGAGGGUGGACCGGCCGACACUGGGACGUGAGACACGGCCCACGACUCCUACGGGAGGCAG